rnacentral:rRNA from 1 species
UACAUGCAGUCGAGCGAAUCGAUGGGAGCUUGCUCCCUGAGAUUAGCGGCGGACCGGUGAGUAACACGUGGGCAACCUGCCUAUAAGACUGGGAUCCUUCGGGAAACCGGAGCUAAUACCGGAUACGUUCUUCUCUCGCAUGAAAGAAGAUGGAAAGACGGUUUACGCUGUCACUUAUAGAUGGGCCCGCGGCGCAUUAGCUAGUUGGUGAGGUAAUGGCUCACCAAGGCGACGAUGCGUAGCCGACCUGAGAGGGUGAUCGGCCACACUGGGACUGAGACACGGCCCAGACUCCUACGGGAGGCAGCAGUAGGGAAUCUUCCGCAAUGGACGAAAGUCUGACGGAGCAACGCCGCGUGAACGAAGAAGGCCUUCGGGUCGUAAAGUUCUGUUGUUAGGGAAGAACAAGUACCAGAGUAACUGCUGGUACCUUGACGGUACCUAACCAGAAAGCCACGGCUAACUACGUGCCAGCAGCCGCGGUAAUACGUAGGUGGCAAGCGUUGUCCGGAAUUAUUGGGCGUAAAGCGCGCGCAGGUGGUUCCUUAAGUCUGAUGUGAAAGCCCACGGCUCAACCGUGGAGGGUCAUUGGAAACUGGGGAACUUGAGUGCAGAAGAGGAAAGUGGAAUUCCAAGUGUAGCGGUGAAAUGCGUAGAGAUUUGGAGGAACACCAGUGGCGAAGGCGACUUUCUGGUCUGUAACUGACACUGAGGCGCGAAAGCGUGGGGAGCAAACAGGAUUAGAUACCCUAGUAGUCCACGCCGUAAACGAUGAGUGCUAAGUG